rnacentral:rRNA from 1 species
UACGGGGGGGGCAAGCGUUGUUCGGAAUUACUGGGCGUAAAGGGCUCGUAGGCGGCCAACUAAGUCAGACGUGAAAUCCCUCGGCUUAACCGGGGAACUGCGUCUGAUACUGGAUGGCUUGAGUUUGGGAGAGGGAUGCGGAAUUCCAGGUGUAGCGGUGAAAUGCGUAGAUAUCUGGAGGAACACCGGUGGCGAAGGCGGCAUCCUGGACCGGCAUUGACGCUGAGGCGCGAAAGCCAGGGGAGCAAACAGG